CACACACUCGUCUGGUCGUCUCUACAGAACAGCUCCAGGGGUCUCUCAUGUUUCUGGCAGAUGUAGUCCUCCAGGUUCUCCACAGGGUCCAUCAGUUUGUGCUUCUUGAAUGAAGCGACUCUCUGAUGAGGAUUCAGGUGAGUCUUGCAGUAAGAGGCCAUACAGAUCAGGCAGGACUUCAGAGCUGCACAGUUGUUUUCACAGAAGUCACAGAGAACCUGAGAUUUGUCAGGUUUCUCUGGAGCUCUGCUGGAUUUGACCUGAACUGACUUCUUGAACUGAGCAGCCAGUCCAGAGAUGAACGUGUUCACAGACAGUUCAGGUCUUGUAGGGAAUUCUGUCUUACAAACUGGACACUGGCAGCGUGAACUGCUGUCCCAGCACUCUUUGAGACAGACCAUGCAGAAGUUGUGUCCACAUGGAGUAGAGACUGGAUCAGUGAACACAUCCAGACAGAUAGAGCACUGGAGCUGAUCUUCAGACAGGAGACUGCUGGAGGAAGACAUGACUGACAGAGGAGACACAGAGACACCAUGAGGGAGAUUUGAGACCAAAGAAAACUUCCUACAUUUUUCAUAACAAUUUUUAGUCAAAACAAGAAAGU